rnacentral:rRNA from 1 species
UACGUAGGGCGCAAGCGUUGUCCGGAAUUAUUGGGCGUAAAGAGCUCGUAGGCGGCCUGUUGCGUCCGCUGUGAAAUCCCGGGGCUUAACCCCGGGCUUGCAGUGGAUACGGGCAGGCUGGAGGCAGGCAGGGGAGAACGGAAUUCCCGGUGUAGCGGUGAAAUGCGCAGAUAUCGGGAGGAACACCGGUGGCGAAGGCGGUUCUCUGGGCCUUACCUGACGCUGAGGAGCGAAAGCGUGGGGAGCGAACAGG